rnacentral:rRNA from 1 species
UGAACGCUGGCGGCGUGCCUCAUACAUGCACGUCGAGCGAACAGACGCGGAGCUUGCUCCUCUGACGUUAGCGGCGGACGGGUGAGUAACACGUGGAUAACCUACCUAUAAGACUGGGAUAACUUCGGGAAACCGGAGCUAAUACCGGAUAAUAUAUUGAACCGCAUGGUUCAAUAGUGAAAGACGGUUUUGCUGUCACUUAUAGAUGGAUCCGCGCCGCAUUAGCUAGUUGGUAAGGUAACGGCUUACCAAGGCAACGAUGCGUAGCCGACCUGAGAGGGUGAUCGGCCACACUGGAACUGAGACACGGUCCAGACUCCUACGGGAGGCAGCAGUAGGGAAUCUUCCGCAAUGGGCGAAAGCCUGACGGAGCAACGCCGCGUGAGUGAUGAAGGUCUUCGGAUCGUAAAACUCUGUUAUUAGGGAAGAACAAAUGUGUAAGUAACUAUGCACGUCUUGACGGUACCUAAUCAGAAAGCCACGGCUAACUACGUG